UUGACCUCAAAUCAGGUAGGACUACCCGCUGAACUUAAGCAUAUCAAUAAGCGGAGGAAAAGAAACUAACAAGGAUUCCCCUAGUAACUGCGAGUGAAGAGGGAAAAGCUCAAAUUUAAAAUCUGGCAGUCUUUUGAUUGUCCGAGUUGUAAUUUAGAGAAGUGUUACCCGUGUUGGGCCGUGUAUAAGUCUCCUGGAAUGGAGCGUCAUAGAGGGUGAGAAUCCCGUCUUUGACACGGACUUCCAAUGCAUUGUGGUAUGCUCUCGAAGAGUCGAGUUGUUUGGGAAUGCAGCUCUAAAUGGGUGGUAAAUUCCAUCUAAAGCUAAAUAUUGGGGAGAGACCGAUAGCGAACAAGUACCGUGAGGGAAAGAUGAAAAGAACUUUGGAAAGAGAGUUAAACAGUACGUGAAAUUGCUGAAAGGGAAACGCUUGAAGUCAGUCGCGUUAGUUCGGGAUCAGCCUUCCUUUUGGUUGGUGUACUUCCUUACUGAUGGGUCAGCAUCAGUUUUGAUCAGUGGAUAAGAGCUUGAGGAAUGUGGCAUCUUCGGGUGUGUUAUAGACUCUUGCUGUAUACAUUGAUUGGGACUGAGGAACUCAGCACGCCGCAAGGCCGGGU
rnacentral:rRNA from 2 species